rnacentral:tRNA from 2 species
GGCGAGGUAGCUCAGCGGUAGAGCAGGGGAUUCAUAAGCCCUUGGUCGUGAGUUCGAUCCUCACCCUCGCCA